GGAAUAUUGGGCAAUGGACGAGAGUCUGACCCAGCCAUGCCGCGUGCCGGAUGAAGGCCUUCUGGGUUGUAAACGGCUUUUCUCAGGGGAGAAAAAGGGUAUGCGUACCAAACUGACGGUACCUGAGGAAUAAGCACCGGCUAACUCCGUGCCAGCAGCCGCGGUAAUACGGAGGGUGCAAGCGUUGUCCGGAUUUAUUGGGUUUAAAGGGUGCGUAGGCGGCUUGUUAAGUCCGGGGUGAAAGCCCACAGCUCAACUGUGGAACUGCCCUGGAUACUGGCAAGCUUGAGUCCAGACGAGGUUGGCGGAAUGGAAGGUGUAGCGGUGAAAUGCAUAGAUACCUUCCAGAACCCCGAUUGCGUAGGCAGCUGACUAGGCUGGUACUGACGCUGAGGCACGAAAGCGUGGGGAGCGAACAGGAUUAGAUACCCCGG
rnacentral:rRNA from 1 species